UACGUAGGUGACGAGCGUUGUCCGGAUUUACUGGGCGUAAAGAGCGCGCAGGCGGUCGUUCAAGUCGAGUGUGAAAGCCCCCGGCUCAACUGGGGAGGGUCACUCGAUACUGAUCGACUGGAAGGCAGGAGAGGGUAGUGGAAUUCCCGGUGUAGUGGUGAAAUGCGUAGAUAUCGGGAGGAACACCAGUGGCGAAGGCGACUACCUGGCCUGUUCUUGACGCUGAGGCGCGAAAGCUAGGGGAGCAAACGGG
rnacentral:rRNA from 1 species